rnacentral:rRNA from 1 species
GAUGAACGCUAGCGGCAGGCCUAACACAUGCAAGUCGAGGGGUAGAACACUUCGGUGUUUGAGACCGGCGCACGGGUGCGUAACGCGUAUGCAAUCUACCUUGUACAGGGGAAUAGCCCAGAGAAAUUUGGAUUAAUGCCCCAUAGUAUAUAACCUUCGCAUGUUGGUUAUCUUAAAGUUCCAACGGUACAAGAUGAGCAUGCGUCCCAUUAGUUAGGUGGUAAGGUAACGGCUUACCAAGACGAUGAUGGGUAGGGGUCCUGAGAGGGAGAUCCCCCACACUGGUACUGAGACACGGGCCAGACUCCUACGGGAGGCAGCAGUGAGGAAUAUUGGUCAAUGGGCGCAAGCCUGAACCAGCCAUGCCGCGUGCAGGAAGACGGUCCUAUGGAUUGUAAACUGCUUUUAUACAGGAAGAAACAACUCUACGUGUAGAGUCUUGACGGUACUGUAGGAAUAAGGAUCGGCUAACUCCGUGCCAGCCGCCGCCGUAAAAC